GAUAUAAUAUGUAAAUAUGAUCAAGAUAUAGAAAUCUUCUUUCAAAAAUACAGAACUCAAUGAGAGGGGAGUGGAAAUUGUAAAAAAUUACUGGAAACAGCAUAAAAGAAUUCAGUGGUAAACAACUUCCCAACAAGGGCUUAGCAAGGAUUCUUAAUUUUGCUUUUCCCUUUAACUUUUUCUCAAGGUCACAAUGACUCUAGGAGGGAGCAUUCCAAGAGAGGGGAUUAGGCAGCUGUGAACAAACUCAUUCUACAAGGCAGUAUCUCCAGGUGAGGAACAAGCUACAGAGCUUGUUCUCAGAGUUGGGGGCUUUGGGAGCACUGAACUAUUCCCUGAUAGCUUGAAUUUGUUUCAGCUCUAUCAGGCAACAACCUGUCUUUCAAGAGCUGGAAUUCCACCAGUACUGGGCUGUAGAAGACGACUUGGGUUCAAAUGAUGACUUCUAAUCUCACCUUCAUGCUGCUAACUCCCAAAGCCUUGAGAGACACCAGUUCCUUCCUCCUAAUGCCUUCCUUGACAGAGAGCAGAGACUAGACAUUCAGCUCAUCCCACUUUGCACCUGCAGCUCUGCCUGGUUUCAACCUCCAGGAUCAGGUAAGUUCCUGGUUCCUGCCUCCUUUUGUGCAUUGUCUUCUCCCGUUAGACAGUAAGCUCCUUGAAGGCAGGACCUAUCUUUUCUUUUUUGUGUGUAUAUCCUUGGUGCUUGUCAGAAUGCCUGGCACAUAUCAGGCACUUAAUAAAUGUUUACUUAAUUGAAUUGAACCCACAUCUUCCUAUAGAAUACAAGACACUUGGGAGCAGAGACUGUUUCAUUUUUGUCUUUGUCUAUCCAUAGCUUAUGGUACCUGGCAUGUAACAGGCAUGAAAAAUGUUUAUCCGGUUGGGUUGCCCAUUCUGAAGCCAGCCCUAUAAACACUAUGACAUGCUGCCCCAGGCAGUCCAGGUCCGCACUUCCUUUAUAGAGCAGGUCAUUAGCAAGGUGGUAGGAUCCUAGGAUCACAGGCUGGGAUUGAGAAGGAAUCAUAGCGCCCCACAAGUCUAAUAAAAUGGAAACAAAAACAACACAACACACAAACUACGGAUUCUCAAAACAUUCUUUAAUGUUCCAUUUCUCCCCAAGCCCAAAGUUGCACAAGCAGUUUGCAAACUUCAAGACCAUCAGUGACAGUGGUGGAUCCCCUCCUCCUUCCACUUUGACAAAGAAGAUGCAGCACAGGCAGUACACAGUGUGUUUUAAUGAUAUUUAAACUUUGAGAUCCAAUAACACUCAAGAACUCGGUUAGAAGGCAAGACGUGCCAGAGAAAAGGUGAAGGACAGCACAAGGCAAUCUGGGAGCAGUCUGGACUUGGAAGGCAAAAGAAGAAUUAAUGCCAUAAGUCUCUCUGCCCAUUUGUGUGAAUCUGAGGAGGCUACUGGGACUGACUCAGUGAAUAAGGCAGUAUUUUAGCUCCAUUUAACUUGUUGGUGAUAGAGCAGUCCUCGUAAUGUCCUUUAAGGAACAUUUCCUCUUGGAAGGAGGGGAAAAAAAAUCCCUGCUUCCAUGGUUGCUUGCACUCCUCACCACUGGUAUGAUGGCUCUUGGUUCAGAUAAAGCAGAAACGAAGACAACAAAGCCAAUGAAACAAUUCACAAUAACACUACCCUGGGAAGGCAGGAUGAGAACAACCCAUCUAGCCUCUGAUUCUGGAGGGAAGGCCUCCUCCUAGUCUGGUCAUAAAAAAAUCUCCCAGAGACCAUGGCCUGCCUUGAAGACUAUUCACUGCUUUGGUAGGCCUUGGCAAGAAAAAGGCAAAGAGUAAUGAGCAAAGAGCCAAAUAUAUCACUGGACUAAAAAUCAAUAGCAUCCAGGAUUCAGAACCUCACUGUCUACGAAAUACAGACUCUAGAGCAUCUUUUGAAACCAAUGAAAUGGCAUGAAAGGACUCUCUUCUCAAAGGUCAGAGUGGUUCUUUGCUGAGAAAGUAACAGGAGCUCCAUAGUCUUCCUCCUUCUUUACUCAGACCCCAAUCCUGGGUCACAAUCUCCACUCCCACUCUGACUCCUUUUGGACGCCACCACAUAAAACCUCUCCUUUAGGGUUGGUAGUAAAGAAAAAAAAGCCUUUCCCUCCCCUCGGGAUGAGCAGAAUCGAUUGGGUAACAUACCAAAGAAGGAUGAGAGAGAGUGUGUGUGUGUGUGUGUGUGUGUGUGUGAGAGAGAGAGAGAGAGAGAGAGAGAGAGAGAGAGAGAGAGAGAGAGAGAGAGAGAGAGAGAGAGAGAGAGGGAGAGAGAGAGAGAGAGAGAGAGAGAGAGAGAGAGAGAGAAAGAGAGAGAGAGAGAGAGAGAGAGAGAGAGAGAGAGAGAGAGAGAGAGAGAGAGAGAGAGA